rnacentral:rRNA from 1 species
AACUUUUACUCUUACUUUCCCGAACAUUUUCCGUGCAACUGCGAAUGGCUCAUUAAAUCAGGUAUCGUUUAUUUGAUAGUACCUUACUACUUGGAUAACCGUGGUAAUUCUAGAGCUAAUACAUGCUGAAAACCCCAACUUCGGGAGGGGUGAAUUUAUUAGAUAAAAAACCAACGCCCUUCGGGGCUUCUUGGUGAUUCAUGAUAACUUCCCGGAUCGCAUGGCCUUGCGCCGGCGACGGUUCAUUCAAAUUUCUGCCCUAUCAACUUUCGAUGGUAAGGUAUUGGCUUACCAUGGCCCCCACGGGUAACGGGGAAUUAGGGUUCGAUUCCGGAGAGGGAGCCUGAAAAACGGCUACCACAUCCAAGGAAGGCGCAGGUGCGCAAAUUACCCAAUCCCGACACGGGGAGGUAGUGACGAUAACUUCUGAUACGGGGCUCUAUUGGGUCUUGUAUCUGUGGUGAGUGCAAUUUAAACCUCUUAUCGAGGAAAAAUUGGAGGGUAAGCCUGGUGACAGUAGCCGCGAUAAGUCCACGUCUGUUACUGUCUAUUAAAACUGUUGCCGUAAUAAGCUCGGAGUUGGAUUUGCGCCGGUUGUACAUCGCCUCUCCUCCAAACAUGUCGGCCUGCUCUAACUUAGGAUUUUUCAUGACUUAAUUUGUGUUUGUCCCCCCCGGGUUUUUGUUUGAAGUUAUAAGAUGGAAAAGACAGGGCUCCCCGCAACACCACGCAUGAUAAAUACCUUAAGGACUAAAUUGUGUUUUUAUUUGUUAAAUCAUAAAUUAAUUAACCUAUUGCAUUCAGUUCGAUUGCCUGGAGGCAGUUCCCCCACGUCCCUGAUUUCUUUCCCAUACUUGCCAAUUAACUCACCACCAUCGUAACCUUAAGACGGAGCUAUCUCUUAUUCCUCCGUUCUGAUUGUGCUUUGUUCUACUCCUCGUUCUCCUCCUGGAUAUUGGCUGCUAGUCGCUUACCACCAUCCCGAUCCACAAUCCAUUGUCCACCUUAGACUCUGAUGUAUUGAGCCUGAUU